GCCUGGGUGGCUCAGUCAGUUAAGCAUCUGACACUUGGUUUCUGCUCAGGUCACGAUCUCACGGUCUGUGGGUUCGAGUCCCACAUCAGGCU
rnacentral:tRNA from 1 species